rnacentral:rRNA from 1 species
GAAUAUUGGACAAUGGGGGGAACCCUGAUCCAGCCAUGCCGCGUGUGUGAAGAAGGCCUUUUGGUUGUAAAGCCCUUUAAGCGAGGAGGAGGCUACUCUAGUUAAUACCUAGGGAUCGUGGGAGUUACUCGCAGAAUAAGCACAGGCGAACCCUGUGCACGCAGCCGCGGUAAUACAGAGGGUGCAAGGGUUAAUUUGUGUUACUGGGCGUAAAUCGCCAAGCGGUGCGACAUUAACAGACACGGGCAACACCCGAGCAGCACAUGGGAUGUGCAUUCGAUACUGUUUGGCUAGUGCACGGGACACCAUCGUUGCUGGCCAAGUGCAGCGAUCAGAAGAGCACCACAAAAACGGAACAACGAGAGAGACAAACAAACUCUGGCCUCAUACUGACACUGAGGUGCGAAAGCAUGGGGAGCAAACA